GAUGAACGCUGGCGGCGUGCUUAACACAUGCAAGUCGAACGGUGAAGGCGGAGCUUGCUCUGCUGGAUCAGUGGCGAACGGGUGAGUAACACGUGAGCAAUCUGCCCCUGACUCUGGGAUAAGCGCUGGAAACGGCGUCUAAUACUGGAUACGAGCUGCGAAGGCAUCUUCAGCAGCUGGAAAGAAUUUCGGUCAGGGAUGAGCUCGCGGCCUAUCAGCUUGUUGGUGAGGUAAUGGCUCACCAAGGCGUCGACGGGUAGCCGGCCUGAGAGGGUGACCGGCCACACUGGGACUAAGACACGGCCCAGACUCCUACGGGAGGCAGCAGUGGGGAAUAUUGCACAAUGGGCGAAAGCCUGAUGCAGCAACGCCGCGUGAGGGACGACGGCCUUCGGGUUGUAAACCUCUUUUAGCAGGGAAGAAGCGAAAGUGACGGUACCUGCAGAAAAAGCGCCGGCUAACUACGUG
rnacentral:rRNA from 1 species